UAUCGUGAUCGGGUAUAUUCCCUAUAUACCUCGCAAGAACGGAUUGUCGGAAGAGGGUACUCACAAAGGGCGAUCGAGAUGUUUGGAAGAAAUAUAUCCAUUGGUGAUGUCAAAUCAAAAGCGGAAUGAAAUGUCAGAAUAUAGGGUACCCACAAAAAGAAAGUGAUGGUCUUAUAAUUAAGUAAAUUGUCUUCUCUUCUACUUCUGGCCAAAGCGGUGAUUUUGAUUCCAUUUGUUGUGGUUGUAGAUGAAAAAAAUGUAUAGUUAUUUUAUCAUUUUUCUUCGGGGAUUUUAAUAUGAAAUCCGAUCGACGAAUUGAAGAACCGAAAAACAAAAAAGAAGUGGAAGGGCGAAGAAGCUGAAAAGAAGAAAGUUUAACUAAAAAUCUCGUGCUAGGAGAAAUAAUCGAAAACAAUGCCGUACAGCCAAAUGGUGAAGAUUUCAAAUUACUGUGUACUAGCUGAUGGUACCUACAUGGGAAAUAUCUACCCUAUUUCUACGGAAAUCUCGAUGAUUGGUACCCCUUCAUAAGACUAUAUGACGAUACGGACAAAGAAUGCAGAUACAGCGACGUGUAUCGUAACUCAGUGAUACGAGGAUUGUGAAUAAGUUAGGAAUUUCAGGAAGAAAGGUAACUUAUAGAUAUGAAGGUAUUGAAAAAGGAACGAUAAUGGUAGGCACAACCGAAUCGCAAGAAUUAUCACUGUCAAUUGGACGAAGUGCUGACAAAUGGUUAAUUUAGAAGAAAAACUACCAUGAAUAAGUUUCAGAAGAGGAAAAUCGAAACGAUGGGAUUUCUGUAAAUAGGAUAUUUAAAAAAGGUAUCUUCUGAUGAAAUGAAGAUAGGAAGAAACUUUGGAACGGUGAAUCCGAAAAAAUCGAAACUGGACGCCAAUGUUUCUGCGGAAGAUUUUUUCCAAACAAAAAAUAGAACAAGGCCGAUCUAUUUAAAGAACCGAAGUAUAAUCCGUAUAUGUAAUGCGUUUCCCGAAAGUUGAUAAAACAGUUCAAGGGGCGCCCCAUCGACGAUGAAUUAAGAGCCUGGGGAAUUACCUCCUUUUGCGCAAUCUCUAUAACUUUGAUAUCGUAUUACCGGUUUGUCCAAAAUAUAUACGUACACUAUUGGAUAAGAAGCUACUUGUAAUAAAUCCUCAUUUUUCGAACAAAGCCGCAAUUGUUUAUAAGAACUUCCAGAUAUAAUGUCAUUAGUGAAACUUCGAAAUCCGAAUCAGAAUCACUUUUUUUUGGGUAACGUUAUUUUGGCAUGCAAAGUGUUAUUCUACUUUUGGGAAAUUUGGGCGAUCACUCCCAACGCAUAGUUCAUGGGAGACUUAACAUUUUUGUCUCGCUUUUUGUUAAUUAGAGUACCACUUGGCAAAAUCGUCUUUGUUACUAUUCAUUUCGACUAUGAAGACCAUUAUCAAAAUCAGAUAAUCUACACUUUUCCCACACAUUAUAUCGGUACAUAUAGGAUUUGGAACUGUAGCGAGGGCAAAAUUUUGUUGCUAAAUUGACAAACAUUUUUUAUACGGGUUUUGGCCGAAAAAUUGAGGCGUGUUACAUCUUUGAUCUCGAAUUCCGGCAGCCAAAUACUAUCAUACCAGUUAAACCAAACAAACAUGGAAAUCAUUUUUAGAUACUAAUCCCAGUAUAGAAAAAAACGGCAGGUCAGUUUAACGAUAAAUAUUUGUUGUUUGCGUUUAAUUUUAAUAAGUCAAUGUACAAAGUAUCCAGCAGUGGUCCAAAGUACAAUGCCAUAUCUUGGCAAAAUACUAUUUUUUAUCCAUAUUUUCGAGCGGCGUAAAUCAACAGGAAAAAAUCGCCAAGUUAUACAGGGUGGUCGCGCUUGGUGGACGUCCUGGAUUUAAAUUUUGUUGAUGCAUUCGUAAAAAUGGACAGAAGUUCGGAAGUUCGAUAAAUCACGGUAUAUAUAAAUUAUACAAGGUGUUAAUGAUUUGGACAACCUAGCAUCAACAAUAAUUUUUGCAAGCAGAAAAAUUGUAUUUGAUCUUAAUUAGAGAUAAUUAAUUUCGAAAGAGGCGAAAGAAAAAUUAGACACCUACCUUCGUUCUUCAAAUGCAGUAAUCAAUACUACACUGUGUCACCACAAAUAUGAUGAUAAUCACGCACCUACAACUGUGUGUUGUUAAUUAUUCGUUGUGUAACAAAUUUGCUUUUGAAUUUUAAUUCCGUUUUAUUUCAAGGCGUCCGGACGCGCUAUCGACCUGUUUCUAUGUGUAUUUAUAGUGAAAAGCAGGGGCGGAUCGACGAUAAAAAGCGGAUGUGGUACCUAAUACCUAGCUUUCCAUACUAUUUUUAAAGACUAUUCCCGCAUAUGAUACUUAUACCUAAUCAAGUGUAUCUAUAAGAGUAAUUAAAUAUUCAAUGUUGCUGUUUGUUGUUGAUGGUAGAAAAACUUGUGUAGCAAAUUUUCUAGAGCAACAUCAAGGCGUGAUCAAAUCGAUUAAUCACUGACGAUAAGGAAUGAGAGUGGAUACGACGCAUUCUUUCCAUGAAAUAUGAUAUUCUGAAGCUUUUUGUUUGCUAUAUAACUCAAUUUUGCUAUGCUUAAUAUCAGUUCCAACAUUGAUACCAAAAUGAUAAACAGUGAAAUUCGCGCUCGUGUUAUAAAUUUUGAAUACAAGACCUGUGUAAAUCCUUCAACGUUAUACUGGUACCACAUUUUAGCCAAUGAAUUCACAAUCUGAGCAAGAGCAUACCGCAAAGUUGAUACAAAAGUGUGGUACUUCGAGCUUUGAUGUGGCCACCCGUGCGCGUGUGUCGGAGCGAGGGUCGAGGGUAUACUCUAUGGUGCGAUGCUAUGGUCUGAGCGAUGGUCGACGCUCUGUUGUGUCCGUAUACCCUACGCGUAUACAGAAAAAGGUUCAUUCUCCUUGAAAAUAUUUGUUUAAUUUUUCUGUUAUAUUUAACAAACCAACAGCAAUAAUUUCUUUACAAGAAAGUAACAUCAACAUGUUUAGUAGGAGCAGGCAUUUUCAUUUGUAACUACUCGUUACACGACUUGCUAUUGUAGGAGAAUAUUCAUUUUCAGUAUAUUUUUCUUAAUUUUUUUCAUUUUUCCGAAAAGUUUUUCAAAGAGGAAAAAAUCAACAGGAUUUGUAACGGGUGAUCGCUUUAGAAUUUAUAAAAAAUGUAUUUUUUGAAUUUGUAGUUGUUCAACAUAGGAAAAUGUAGACAUGUACCGCUUGAUAGCGAACGUAAAUGAUAGUAUAUCUGGUGAUAACCAGCGAUAUCAUGAAGCGUAUUGCGAAAAGCCAGCGUGGUUGAUACGAUCUCUUCGAACCUAAAAGUUUCGAUCCGUGACAAAAAUGCAGGUUUCCAAUUCGUUAAAAAAGGUACGCCAGUCGAAAUUAUUUCGUUCAGAAAAUAGGCCCCGUUUCACAGGUUCUAACGGGCGAGAUUUAAAUAGCAAGAGAAGUGAGUGAGAGAUAUUUCUAAGCUGGAUUGCGCGAACGGUCACGUACCCUGUUUGUGCGUGAAUUUUUCUAUCGUUGAAAAUUCGUUCAACGUUGAAUUUCGCUAACCACCUACCAUUUUAAGCGCACGGAAAUUGAAUUUUCAGUAAAUUUAGAAAAGCAAGCGCGCACCAUUUUGUUUGAGGUCAAAAUUCCAGAACCAAAUCGUGGACGUACCUAUCCAAAUAGUAGUGAAAAAUUAGCUACAUUUGGCAUUCGGCAAAAAAUUUAAAGACAAUUAAUCGGUAACCGCAAUAAAUCCUAGUUAAUUAAAUAAUAAAUAGGGCAACAUAAUAUUAACACAGUGUAAAAUCAGUAUAAUCACGAUCUCGAGUAUUACUUUCUCGAAUUUGAAGCCAGUUUGCUCGGAUUCGUGAUAGGUAUAGACAUUUUUGUUUUGUGUCACGGACUCACCUUUACAUACAGAAGCAAUCUAUUUCCAUAUUCAAUUUUCCAAGGAGAAAUAAGGUCAUUUGUUACCAAAAGAUAAUAGUACCCACGUCAAUAACUGUAAAUUAUCUUAAAUUUUUGAUUUGUAUAAAGUAGUGGUCGAUUAUUUCUAAGAAUUUCCAUAUUAAUUUUGGUUUGAUGUAAUUUUGAUAUUCCUAAAGGAAUUGACCCAUGAAAAUU